rnacentral:tRNA from 1 species
GCAUCGGUGGUUCAGUGGUAGAAUGCUCGCCUGCCACGCGGCGGCGGCUGGGUUCGAUUCCGGCUGAUGCA